rnacentral:rRNA from 1 species
GACGAACGCUGGCGGCGUGCUUAACACAUGCAAGUCGAACGGUAAGGCUCCAGCUUGCUGGGGUACACGAGUGGCGAACGGGUGAGUAACACGUGGGUGACCUGCCCUGCACUUCGGGAUAAGCCUGGGAAACUGGGUCUAAUACCGGAUAGGACCGCACCGUGAGGGUGUGGUGGAAAGUUUUUUCGGUGUGGGAUGGGCCCGCGGCCUAUCAGCUUGUUGGUGGGGUAAUGGCCUACCAAGGCGGCGACGGGUAGCCGGCCUGAGAGGGUGGACGGCCACAUUGGGACUGAGACACGGCCCAGACUCCUACGGGAGGCAGCAGUGGGGAAUAUUGCACAAUGGGCGGAAGCCUGAUGCAGCGACGCCGCGUGGGGGAUGACGGCCUUCGGGUUGUAAACUCCUUUCGCCAUCGACGAAGGGUUUCUGACGGUAGAUGGAGAAGAAGCACCGGCUAACUACGU